GCAGCCUAUGAUGAAGCGAUCUCCCACUGGUGUUCGAGUUUCCCAACUAUGAGACAACUCUACAUGCACUACCAUCUGAGGCUGG
rnacentral:snoRNA from 2 species